rnacentral:lncRNA from 1 species
AUGUCAGAGCAUCUCAGAGCAACAUUCAGCACUGACAUCUGUCAGACUCUGAUCUCGCUGAGAUGGAAAGCGUGCAAGCUCUGCAGGUUAUUGAUCGAUCUGCCUCUGAAGGCCCUGACAUGUCACCUUUGCGUUCUGGUGUUAACUCGUUGUGGCAGAGCUGGGCACUGUUACCUGUGGAAGUUUGCAUGCACAAAUGAGCAGAACGGUUUUGGACAGUGACAUACAUAGUCAUUCUGGAAGCAAUGCAGAUGGUUCAAGGUAAGUUUUGUGGUUCUUCUGUCAUGCUUAAAGGUGAAUUAUGCAAUUGCAAUGCCACUUGCGGCAUAAGUGCAAAAUUUCAAGCAAUCCACACAAUUUCCAGUGUUUGGAAGUCAGAUUGCUCAAAAAACCUGCAAUGCAAAAUAUUACCAAUUUGACUGCACUGACAUUAUUGGAUGAACUGAAUUGAGCCGAAUGAAGACACAAUUGUCUUCUUAAUAGCUGUUUUACAGCUGAAUCUAUUUGAAGCAUAAUACAUUUUGCAGUAUCGACACUGUUUUUGUUAUUAUACUUAACUGACUUGCUUUUAUAGCUGAGGUGCUUAUAGCUAAAUCGAACUUGUUUUAUAAGGUUUGAUUAGCUUUAAACAGUUAUUGAACCAAACUGAAUCAACACUGAAGAGACUUGAACUGAAUUAUGACACUAUUGUCUUUUUUAAAGCUGCUUUUAGAACAGAAUUUGAGUUAGUCUCAUAUUUGAAGAAGUUUGCAUCAUUGGUUGUUAUUUUCCUGUGAAGCUGCUUUUAAACAAUCUGAAUUAUAUAAAGCACUAUACAAAAUAAAUUUCACUAGUGGUGCAAUAAAUGCAAGCUUGCUCAACAAACUGAAACAGUAUUUAUCUACAUAAGGUGGACAAAAUGCAUCACCAGAGCACACUUUUGGCAGCAAAAUAAUCAUCACAAUGUCCUCAUAUGGCGUUCGGUUGCCGGAGCGGAAGUUGAAUCCAAUUUUGACGAGUGUUUGUUUGAAGAGUGCAGUGAAGGUAAGUUUCUGAAAUAAGCACUCAAUUCUUUCUUCCCCUUCCCCCACUCUCUCAACUUCAGGAAGACUUUCUCCCACUAGAAUUCUGGAAUUAUCAUUAACCUUUCCUUUGGUCCCCCUCCCUCCUCCUUGCCAGGCUGUAUCUCCUGUUCUGUUUGGUUCCUGGCCCCAUAUGCCACUUUCCUAUUUCCUGGCUGUAGACAGCAGGGAGUAGCUCUAUUAUCACCUCCACUGAGCUGUCUUUGAAUGUGAGAGGCAAUUCCAUUUCACUUUGCCACGGGGAGGAGGAGGCAGGCGUACUACCCAGCUCGAAGAAAUUGGCUAAGGGUUCAUUUUUAUAGAUGGAGUGCAAGGAGAGCGCUUUUCCUCUUGUGUUAGAGAGGAUUUCAAAUGUACUGCACUAAUGCCACGAUUGCUAUUGUGAAAAUUGUGACAGGUGCACGGACAUAUAUAUAUAUGUGUUUCUAGCAAUGCUAUAUGAUUGAUACAUGGCCGUUUUUUAAUAUUCACUUUGGUUUGUUUGAUUCUUCCAUUGUUUGUUUGAAUCAAAACAUGCUUUAUGCAAGUAUUUUAACUAGUUGCACAGACUUAAUUUUGUGCAUUACCGAGGAUUUUGAAUGUAGUACACUAAUGUCAUGAUUGCUAUUGUGAAAAUUGUUCAAUAUUAGUUUUGAGAGGUGCACAGAUCAAUUUUAUUUAUAAAUUUAUGUUUUAUAGUAUUAGCUAUAUGAUUGUACACACGGUCAUUUUGUAAUUUCACUUGUGUGUUUGAUUCUUCCAUUGUUUGUUUGAAUCAAAACAUGCUUUAUGCAAGUAUUUCAACUAGUUAUGAUAGAUGCCAAGAUUGCUAUCAUGAAAAUUGUUCAAUAUUAGUUUUUACAGGUGCACAAACCAAGACUGUUUGUUUGCAUUAGAGAAGUGUCAUUGCAUUUAAAUAUUGCACAUCUAGCUGUUUAUUCAUCUAUUUAUCUUUCUAGCAUUGCUACAUGAUUGGUAAAAAGACAUUUUUUUAUUUUCACUUUGGUUUGUUUGAUUAUUCCAUAUUCCUAGUUCAAAAAAAUCUUGCAGUCUUGAAUUUGUGCAUUGUUACAUGUCUGAAAUAUAUAAAACUGCAAAUGCAGUACACGUUGCAUUCUCACCAUUGCCACAAAAGGCGGUAUAGUGACCAUUAGCGCAAAUAGUCUUCUACAGUCAGUUUUCUCAUUAAGAGCAACAGUUUGAAGUUAAUCUAGUAAGUUAAACUGUCUCAGUUAUAACACAGACAUUUCCUAUCAUGCAUUUGAGCACUGAUGCUUGGUGCAACCUCAAUAAUGCAAAAAUGCACAUUAAGUUUGUACAACAAAACCGCAUGGCUGUUAUGCAUUGACUGAACACUGCUUGAAUAAAGCAUGUUUUUGACCAAAGUCUCUUAGAUUCUUUCAACCUGGUGCUUUGCAGUGGUGUUUUCAAUGCUAUUCUACAUAAGAAUGCAUGAUGUACAUUGAACUGCAAUUCUGUAGAGACUUUGAAUGCAAAAUCUUUGGCAGCCAUUGAUUGUUUGGUGCAUUACUGUUUUAUAUUACACGCGAUUCUGACAACCAGUCAAAGCUUGGACAGCUAGAACUGAACAUAUACAGUAUAUUCUGGAAUCUGUUACUUACUGUGGAAAAUCAGCACAACACAGAAGCUAGAAAGGUUUUUCUAUCAUUUAGGGUCUGGGCAAAUAUGUUGAAAUCCUCUAAGGAGGCUGAUGAAAAAUGCACCCGCUUUGAGCCUCGCUUGUCUUAAGAUAAAAUUGAUGUUUUAUAAAUAAUUUCGACCCUGCAAACAUCAAAGGCCACAAUCACAGCGACUCAGUGAUAUUCAUUUGGCAUAAGUCAGUUUCAUUUUUGCGAGCUUUUCAUCUGAAAUGGCUUAAAAAGUAGACUUGCUCUGAAUCUUUCAUGACUUGGGGCUUGCAGGGGACAGUGGCUGAUGUUCUUCACUUGUAGACGUCUGACAGCGUGCGGCAGCAUCAACAACAAAAUGGUCACAAACCCCCGUUGCACUUCCUGGGUCAUACCGCCUGAUAAAUAUUUCAGGGGACUAGCAACACACUGAGCGGCUGAUAACAGGUCAGUUGCAGGUGAUAAAAGUUGGUUUUAGUUGGGACAUUAAGCCUUUUCUUCAGUGUGCGAUAUUAUAUCUUCACCAUGGUUUAGCCAUGUAUUACACAUCAGUGAUUUAGCUUCGCAUCGUCUGUACAGUGGGUCGACUGACAGUGCGACAGAUGUGAGAAAUAAAUUCAUCUGUGCAUCGUAACUGCUGUGAUGAAUAUCAAACUGCUGAUCUGGCAAACAUCAGGCAUGUCUGAGUUUCAUAAAACAGCAUCAUCAUGCUAAAUUGGGAAUCUUCACUGUUAAAGUGAACUGAACAUCUAUGGCAUUUUAAAAUGUGACCCAGGAGCCCCAAUCACAAUGUAUUUCAGUAGUUUGACAUUAACAUGAUAGUCAGCUAAUGGUGUGAUAAUCUAACAAACAUUACACUCAUUACAAAAAAAUCAAACAGUAAAAAUAGGGCCCAAUGAAUAGUGUUAAUAUGAAGGAGGUUUCUG